rnacentral:rRNA from 1 species
GAGAAGGAAGGUCCCCCCCACAACUGGGAACUGAGACACGUCCCAGGAUUCCUACGGGAGGCCGGCAGGUGAGGAAUUUAGGUCAAUGGACGCAAGUUUGAACCAGCCAUGCCGCGUGCAGGAAUGAGGCCCUAUGGGUCGUAAACUGCUUUUUGCUGCGGAGCAAUAAGUGGCACGUGUGCCACGAUGAGAGUACGCAGCGAAUAAGCAUCGGCUAACUCCGUGCCAGCAGCCGCGGUAAUACGGAGGAUGCGAGCGUUAUCCGGAUUUAUUGGGUUUAAAGGGUGCGUAGGCUGUUCGUCAAGUCAGUGGUGAAAUGCCGGGGCUCAACCCCGGAGCUGCCAUUGAUACUGUCGGGCUUGAAUCCUGCUGCCGUGGGAGGAAUGAGUAGUGUAGCGGUGAAAUGCAUAGAUAUUACUCAGAACACCGAUUGCGAAGGCAUCUCACGAAACAGGCAUUGACGCUGAGGCACGAAAGCGUGGGGAUCAAACAGGAUUAGAUACCCUGGUAGUCCACGCAGUAA